AUCAAUACUGCUUUUAAGACUUUUACCAAUGUUUGUACCUACAACAUUUCACAGAGUUGGAGCAGACAGUUCCUUCGCACAAUCGUUGUGGGUCAUCCAGACUUGUGGGUCCUCUCGUGUCAACCUCUCCAAUUCACCCCAGAGUUUUUAGAGGAUUUUAAUCUUGGUUUUGAUUUAGCCAUAGAGGAAGGUUGAUUUUGUGUCUUUUUAACCAAUGUAUGUCGACUUUUUCCAAAUGUUUUGCAUCAUCUGCUGAAAUAUCCAGCAAUGACCCAUUUUUAGUUUACUGGUAAAGACUAUCAAAUUUUUUUCCGGCAUCAGUUCUAAACAACCAGUUGGCAUAAAGUAAGUGAUUGUUGUCAUGGAGAUGUGGUUUGUUCAAAAUGCCACUCUUUGCUCCAGUUCUCUAGCAGUUUAUUUGGAGAAUCAUAUAUUUCACCUCCAUUACCAACUUGCUCACUGUGAGAGGCGGCAAGAUAAGCAAGGGUCCGCAUUCAACCGAGUGACUGAUAACGUUGAGUUAUUGUACAAUGGGAACGCAUGUAAAACUAGAAACCCCUGAGGCUGUUGGUUUUCUGGGCAGGACUCUGAGCAGUAGCCGGUCCCAUAAAGACUCGUGGGAACUCUAUCUGAUCAGCUCUCUCACCUGUCCAGCAUAAUUUGCAGCAGUAUGUGGUUCUGUUGCUCUCUAAACCUCCCCCUACUGAGGCGAUGUUAUCAGGUGGCUUCUCACGCUUACCUCAACUAAAACCCUGAUGGAAAACAACUGAAAUAAGCCCUGGAGAUGCUGCUGGUAUUGGGGAUGUGGGGGAGAAAAACUGUCUACUUUACUACAAAGCAGCAACUUUUACAACUUAAUUUCUUUUUUUUUUAUGAAGUCCGGGGGCUUCAUUCCGGGUGGGAACAAAGAGGAGUGACAGACAGAGAUGGAUGGAAGACUGGGGGUCCUUGGGACUCACUCGCUUGACAGCGCCUGUCUCUACGUGUAAUGACUUAUUUAUUCUGGGGUUAUUAAUCAGGUGUGGUUUUUCUGUUGAUAUGAUUUAUAUGCUUUGUCAGCUACGGAGGGAUCAUUAAAAAGAAAAAAAAAAAAAAAAAAAAAAGAGGCCCACGCC